GACGAACGCUGGCGGCGUGCCUAAUACAUGCAAGGAGAACGCAGUUGCGAACGGGUGAGUAACGCGUAGGUAACUGCCUCAUAGCGGGGGAUAACUAUUGGAAACGAUAGCUAAUACAGCAUACUGUGAGAUGGACCUGCGUUGUAUUAGCUAGUUGGUGAGGUAAAGGCUCACCAAGGCGACGACACAUAGCCGACCUGAGAGGGUGAUCGGCCACACGUGGAGUGAGACACGGCACAGACUCCGACGGGAGCGAGCAGGAGGGAAUCUGAGGUGAUGGAAGGAAGUCUGACCGAGCAACGCCGCGUGAGUGAGGAAGGUAAUUGGAUCGUAAAGCUUUGUUGUUAGAGAAGCGGUACCUAACCAGAAAGGGACGGCUAACUACGUGCCAGCAGCCGCGGUAAUUC
rnacentral:rRNA from 1 species